GUCACUCACAUUUAGGGUGGGUCUUUGUCCUUCAGUUAAACCUCUCUGGAAACCAUCACAGACAGAACCAGAGAAGUCUCUCCUAGGUGACUCUAAAUCCAGUCAAGUCCAUCGGGAAUGCCCACGGUCAUGGCCUUCCCACCUCGCCCACGGUCAUGGCCUUCCCACCUCCUCGAGUACUAAAGACACAAAUCAUCAGACGCUCUGCAUCCAGCCUCAGUCAGUGGCCGCUCACUGUCUCCCGGCCUCUGCUCAUUUCUCUGUUUUCCUCCUGAGUUGGUGUGUCUGCCCGUCUCCUCCCUGGGGCCCCACCUCUCUGGAUUUGGAAGAUUUGGACUGUUACCUCCCAGAGCCAAUAAUGCACCUCUGCUCUCCGCCGACAAGGUACGCCUCAGGGAACAUGCGAAUCCUGCGCAGUGGACUGUGGCUUUCGGCCAAAAGUAAAGCAAGCAGCGCAGAGAGGCCUUUGGAGAGGGAAGCCGAGGAAAAGCUCUCCAGUCACACCGGGUCCUUCUGGGAGCCUUCCUCCUCCUCCCAGCAAGCAGAGCCACAGACGAUCAAGCGUUUGUGUGUACGGCCUGACACACGGGUGUGGGAAGCUCACCUGUCUCUCAUUCCCUCCUCGGAGGGAUCCGGGCACCCAGCAGCCCUCUGGCAUCUGCGGCAUGUCAGGAAUGGUGCCGAGCGCGGAGGUGACAGGUGUAAAGACGUGAGCCAUUCCAUGGGGAUCCCUGUUUAGAGUGGGAAGUAGAGAGGCGGAGAGCUGCCACUUGGCCAGGGGUGGGGUUAUCCUCCACUUAGUCACUCAGUGCCCCAACCAGAGUCCCAAACUCCUGGGAGUGAAGUUGUGGUGACAGAUUGUGUACCCUAAUAAAAUUUUCCUGAAGAUCAGAGAACAGAGCCAGCCACUAGAUCAAACACAGAGGCCAGGCAGUGGUGGCACACACCUUUAAUCCCAGCACUCUCGAGGCAGAGAUCCAUCUGGAUCUCUGUGAGUUCAAAGCCACCCUGGACUACAGGAGACUGACUCAGCCUAGGAGAGAAACAGAGCCAGGCAGUGGUGGCACACGCCUUCAAUCCCAGUUCUGAGAAGGCAGUAAUAUGGCUGGGUGGAGGAAGGUGUAUAAGGCGUGAGGAGACAGGAACUAGAGCCCUUUUCGGCUGAAGCCUUUUGACUGGAGCUUUUGGGCUGAAGGCUCAGGGACAUUCAGUCAGAGGAUUCGUGGAGUAGGCGAGGUGAGAAGUAGCUGUGGCUUGUUCCUUUGUCUCUCUGAUCUUUCAACAUUUACCCCAGUACCUGGCUCCAAGUUUUUUUAUUAAAAAACCUAUUAGAUUUCAAGCAACAACUGUAGACUGUAUAUGUUACUGUAGGCUAAACAAAGUUUAGAUAGAUAGAUAGAUAGAUAGAUAGAUAGAUAGAUAGAUAGAUAGAUAGAUUUGGAGACUGGUUCUCCAGAAGUUGUGGCAGGCCGUGUCCAUGCAGGACAGGAGGGGGACAGCGGCAGUGAGGAACGAGACUGAUGUCGUCACAAGCCAGUCCUUGAGACUCUCUUGAUAUCUCUCAUCUCAUCUGGCGCUAAGAUGUCCCUUUGUCUUUGUUCCAUAUCUGGCCACAAUGACCUGCCUUCGACCCCAACUAAUCACUACGUAUGGGCCACCAGGGAGGGGUGACUCUCUCAGAAAGUGACUCUCUCAAGCGGAGCCAUCCACGCCGGACUGACAUCCCAGCUCUUUCCACCAGCUGAAGAGAGAGCCUGGCUGUGUGUCCACACCCAUCGUAGGAUGGAGUCAAGGCUCACAGGGCUUUGUUCCAGUCCGUGGGCAAGGUAGUGUGAGUGCCCAGCCAGGAGAGAAUGGAUGUGUGGGAGUGUACCUCCGUCCACUCUCCAGCAUGGACUAAAGAGCCAAGAGCCGUGGACGGCUUCCAUGACAUCAGAAAUGAUGCUGCUGCCUCCACAGAGAUGCUCGAUGGCUCCAUUGGAAUGACUUCCCUGUGGUGGGACAGGAGUCACACGCACUCACAUGGCCACAGAGGUGUGCCUCUAACUGAGGAAAAUUUACAGAGAUGUUCAUGGUGCAGAGCAGCAGACAGAAGGAGGUGGUGACCUGUGGGCUAAGUUUUGAUGGUUGCAGAGGAGUUUGCUCAUAGAAGCAGGAGACAGACGGAUCUCUAGAAGCAUGCCUGGUGCGACCCAUCCUCCAGCCCUCAAUAAUCAUACCCAUACAUACACACACACACACACACACACACACACACACACACACACACACACACAGAGAGAGAGAGAGAGAGAGAGAGAGAGAGAAAGAGAGAGAGAGAGACAUGUAUGCAGACACACACAUACACAGAUAGACACAGAUAUGUAGAUACACACAGAGAUAUACACACACAUAGACACAUAGAGACACAUAUACAUAGAUACACAGACACACAUAAACACACAUACCCACAGAUAUGCACACAUACAUAGAUGCACACACAUAGAAACACACACACACACACAUAGACAGACACAGAUGCACACAUGCACACAGAAGACACAGACACACACAUACAGACACACACACAGAUAUACACGUGCAUAUACACCACCCCCAGGAGUGAGUUUCUGUUGGAAACGCCCACACAUUUCUCCAUGUUGCAAAGACUCAUGAAGAUGAGAGGAAGCAGGGGUAAUGUGGUCCACACUGGAAACAGCUGUGUACGUGAGAGAAGAACGCACCGACAGCGCUGUGGGAUGAACGCGUGGCUAAGUGUCCUCCGGUCUGUGAGACUUCCGUCCCGCACGUGAGCACAACCUCUCAGCGCUCAGCUGGUAUAAGCCACGUCCUGGUUGGCACGCACCCUUUGUUGUCGUCACUUUUAAUGGCAACGUAAUAUUCCACUGCCUGGAACCAGGCGGUUAGGACACCCUUCAUUCUUAGCCUCUUACGGGUGACGAGACAGCAAGCCUGCCCCUAUCCAUAAAGCUCUUAUUUCCUAGUUAAGAUUAUUCUGUGGAGGAGGAAUCUCAGAAGCACAGUUAUUGCCACCGAAGUCAUAAACAAUUUUCGGAACAUCGGUGUCUCUCCACCCUUGCCGCUUAACAGGCAUCUGCAUCCAGACAUGUAGCCUCCGGCAGUGAGCGGCUCAGCGGUGUGUUUCUCCCUUGAUUUUAUUUCCUUUACACGAGUCAGCUUUGUGCGUCAUGGAGCAACAGCACAGACUUUAAUAAACCCGAGCGGAGGCUUCCUCCGCAAGGUCACGCCAUCCAUCUCCCCGGCUCCCGACAAUGGGACAGCGGUGGCGUCCACUCAACUCCUGCAGGCCUUCCUUCCAUUGCUCUCCAUCCAGGCCGGUUACUACAGCAGCCCAGGAAAACUGGCUCCGGCGAGCUCUGCAUUCUAAGGCAAGAAUAGGUCGCUCCAGGCACCGUCCUCCUCCACACGGCUCAGCGUCAGAAUUUUCCAGCAACGGCUUCCAGUGUGGAGGUCCCUUUAGGACAUUCUGCUGCCUUGCAGAACUGACCAUGGCGGCUACAGAGCAUGUGUGGAGCGGCCCAGCGCUCCCCGGUAUCGGGUAUGCACGGUACCCCACAGGCUCAUCUGCAGAGCUGGGGGGUGGGGGCAGGUUCUCAUCACGGAUGCGGUGGCCCCACCCAUCUCCUUCCUCACUUCCACAUUCCCAUGCUCUUGCUAAUUAAUGCUCCACAACAACUGAACAGUACCUCCCUGUCCUGCUGUUCCUUGGCCUGACCAUCUCCCUGUGUCCCCGUGACUGUGUCCCAGAGGGAUACGUGUCCACCCGAACCAUCUGUCUUUCCCAAGCUGCCCAGUUCCACUUGCUUGACACCCCACAGUGCCCACAGCUCACAGUCUCUCCCCUGUGAGGCCAAUCCUUGCUGUUUUCUGCUCUUCUCUUUCCUUCUGUGGAUCCAGAGAUGGAGUCCACCAGCCUCUCACACCCUGUGUGACCUCCUCACACCAAUCUGCAUCCCUUCCCUUCUUUCCUAUUUUUUUUUUUAAUUGGCUGGCUUUGAAAUCACUCUGUAUCCCAGGCUGGCCUUAGCUCCUCCUGCCUCAGCCUCCUGCAUGCUGGAGUGAUAGGCCCAUGUCACCACCCCCCUCAGCUGGGUAAUUUAUAAUUUGCCCUCUCUCCGAGACUGUAGGAUUCACAAGGGUGGGAGCCUUUGGCUCUGAGUGUUGAUUAGAUACAGGUGCCAGGAGGGCAAAGCUACUCAGUAAAUACAGAUAGACAGAGG